CUGGGAUGGAUAGAGAGAGAGUGGGGAUGGAUGGAUGAGUCAGAGAGAAAGCGUGCGUGGGGAUGAAUAAAGAGAGGAGGGAGAUGGAUGGAUGGAUGGGUCAGAGAGAAGGUGUGUGUGGGGAUGGAUAGAGAGAGGAGGGAGAUGGAUGGAUGGGUCAGAGAGAAGGUGUGCGUGGGGAUGGAUGGAAAGAGGGUGGGGAUGGAGGGAUGGGUCAGAGAGAGGUUGUGCCUGGGGAUGGAUAGAGAGAGGAGGGGGAUGGAUGGAGGGAU